rnacentral:lncRNA from 1 species
AGUCCCCCGGGUCGGUCACCGCUGAACUCUCAGGAGGGAGCACUCAAUUGAACAAGUGCAGGAACCAGCUGGCUGCCUCAGCACUGACAGAAGCAAAUUCCAUUUGCUUGGACCCACUGCAUUCCAUCCCUUGUGGAAGAGAGCAUGUAAGCAAGUGAGUGCAGGAACUGGCUGGCUGCUUUGGUGCUGGCAGGAGCAAACACCAUGAAGGCCCCAUGGCAGAGUCCAGGACAGGACCUUCGGGCCUCUAAAAAAAAAGGAUCAAAGAACUGAAACUCACCAGAUCACCUCACCAGAUGCUAGACCCCUCAUUCACCAUGUUUGCUUCCUUGCCUCUCCCUAGUUCUUAUUUUCUUACACAUUGUUACAUUUCUUCCCUGCUAUAUCAACCCCUAGUUCUAGUCAGUCAUGGAGAUGGAUUUGAGACUGAUCUCCCAUCCCCUCAGCUGCAC